rnacentral:rRNA from 1 species
AGAGCGAACGCUGGCGGCAUGCUUAACACAUGCAAGUCGCACGGGCAGGGGCAACCCUGUCAGUGGCGGACGGGUGAGUAACGCGUAGGUAUCUAUCCUUGGGUGGGGGACAACUGUGGGAAACUACAGCUAAUACCGCAUGAUGACCGAGGUCCAAAGCUCGCGAGAGCGCCUGGGGAGGAGCCUGCGUACGAUUAGCUAGUUGGUGGGGUAAAGGCCUACCAAGGCGACGAUCGUUAGCUGGUCUGAGAGGAUGAUCAGCCACAUUGGGACUGAGACACGGCCCAAACUCCUACGGGAGGCAGCAGUGGGGAAUAUUGGACAAUGGGCGCAAGCCUGAUCCAGCAAUGCCGCGUGUGUGAAGAAGGUCUUCGGAUUGUAAAGCACUUUCGACGGGACGAUGAUGACGGUACCCGUAGAAGAAGCCCCGGCUAACUUCGUGCCAGCAGCCGCGGUAA